AUAAAGAAAAUAGAAUAUAUUAUUAAAUUUUAAAUUUAAUAAUAAGAAAAGUAUAUUUGUUAGUACAUAUAUUUUGCCAAUUUUGGCACGUGACUCGUGAUUUUUUGUUUCAUGGUGAUUAAAAAUCGUUCGCUGAUUCUCCGCAUGGUGCUCUCUAUUCCGUAUGGCUAAUUCUGUUAUUGUGACGAUGAGAUUUUCUCUCAGUAAUCGAAUAUCUAAUUUAUUUCAACUUUGAUAGACAUUACAAAUGUAACGAAAUAGGAUUAAAUUCCUUCCCGUAGCAAGGAAACAUGGAAGGAGUCAAAAGGAAAAGCGUAACUACGCGUGUAACUCUUCGACCGGAACUAUCAUGGGCCAUGUGGCGGCAUAGACUGCGGUCGUAACCAUAAAGCUUGGAAACACAGGCAGCAGAUACAAGUUAACUUUCUGUCUCUUCUUGCUCAAGUAACCAUUUACUAUCAGAGCGGACAAGAAUAACACAUAUGCUUUUACCAUUUCUAUUUUUUUAAUUACAUCACAUUUAAAAUUUAAAAAAAUUUCUUUUUUUUUAUUUAUUAUGAUAAUUUUUAUAGCACAAAAUUAUAAAAUAAUUGCAUUUAUUUAAAUUUAAAAAAUAUUAUAGUAUUAUUUGAAAACUGUUUUGUUUAUUUUUUUUAAUGUUUUAUUAUAUUAUGUAUAUUAAUUAUCAUAUUUGAGAUUUUAAAAAAAUUUUUUAAAUGAAUUUCUUAUUUUAAUAAUAUUCUAUAUCAAAUAUCAAUCAUCGAAGAUAAAAUAAAUAUUUUUUUUGGUAUUAUAAUGUAAUUCAUAGUUUCAAAAAUUGAUUAUUUACUAAAAUCAAUUAAUAAAAAAGAGUAAAAUAAUACAAAAAUAUUAAUAAAAAGAAAAACACCUUAAAUAUCAUACUGCAAUUAUAAUACAAAUAAAUACAAGUCCUUUAUUUCCUUAAUAUGAUCUUAAUUACACUAUAUCAUUAGCUAUUAAUCAUCCAGAACAUCAAACCAGUCUUAAAAGCGUGGAUCGUUAAAAUUUUGUCUAGGUUUAUCAACAAUAUUGUGCAACUGACGUCCAAGUCUGGGAGAUGGUGUCCAAGGUACUCGACGUCCUAGACGUGAUGCAAACAAAGAAUUUAAACAAAGAUGAAUACACAUCAAAUGACUGGCAAAGUCCAUCGAUGUCCAUCGAAAACAAUAAAAAAGAGGAAGAAAGAAGACAAAGUGUCGUCGACAAAUAGGGAAACGUCAGGAAAGCCUCCUGGCGUCUUCCUUUGUAACGAAUCGAUGCUGGCGCCCAAGGCGAUUAGGCGAACAAUUUGUUCUCAAUUAAACCUGUCAAUUAACCAAUUCAAUUUCGGGAUGAACGAGACCAUGAAGCAGGAAAGAAAGUCAACUAGUGCUUGUAUAAAAGCUCGAUUGUGACUCUGCCUAUCAACACAUUUAUUGGUCGAUCGUCUCGGAGAACACGUGAUUUGAUCUACAGUAAAAGCAUAGUUUAUGAAUGAGAAUAGAAAAUUAGUUUUUAUGUAAAUACUGGAUUAAGAUUGGGAAUUUUUAUUAGUGUAUACAUGUUAAUUUAUUAAUAU